rnacentral:sRNA from 1 species
AAACCAAAAGCCAAAAAUAAUCCUGUGUAGGAUAUAAUUUAAAUAUCCUUUAAACAUUUCUAAGUAAUGGGUGUGGCCAAUUUAUUGCUAAUUUUAACUUCCUGUAGUACCAAACAAGACCACAAGAUGGCAGGCAGUGGUUUUUCAAGCAGCGAUGGUACUGCUCAAAAGCUUUUAGUUACUCUUCAAUUCCUUAGAAUAUUAAAAUAAAAAUAAGUAAGAUUACAUUUAAAUGACGAUGUUAUUUAAACUUUAAUGAAAGUACAAACUUCAAAGUUAAAAAGAUAGAAAUACUUAUAUCACAUUUCUCUUUCUGCAGAAGUCUUCAGGACGGGGUGAGUUACUGAUCUCUCUCUGCUAUCAGUCCACCACAAACACUCUAACUGUGGUUGUCUUAAAAGCUCGACAUCUGCCUAAAUCUGAUGUGUCCGGACUUUCAGAUCCCUAUGUCAAAGUGAACCUGUACCAUGCCAAAAAGAGAAUCUCCAAGAAGAAGACUCAUGUGAAGAAAUGCACCCCCAAUGCAGUGUUCAAUGA